CUUUUCUGUUGUCAUAAGUUUUGUUUUAGUUCGGUCAUAAUUAUUUUUUAUCAGUAGUUUCGAGAUAGAAAGUGUCCCUAAUUAUUUGAUUCGGACGAUCCUAGUGGUCCGGAAGCCAUAUUUAAUUUUACAAGUAUAAAACUAGUCAUCCUCUAGGGAGAGCUAUGCCAAGACGCCAUAUUGAACCAGCAAAACUGUCAAAUUUGUGAGCCAGCCGAUAUAAACCAGCCAUUAUUUAGUUGCACUGCUAGCUUUAAACAAUGGAAUGAAAGAUGUUCAUGUUAUACGGGUGAUACGGGACACAUUACCCACCCCAACUAAUCCGGAAUUUUAUUCGAGAUUGUGGUUGGUUUCCGCCGAGAUUCCGACUCAAGUGCAACAACCGAUUCCGAAUCAUGCCAGAAUUCUGAAUCGAAUUCCGGCUUGUUUAACUGGACUACCAUUACUCUUUAGGGACUGUAUCAAACAACCGAAACGACGUAAAUUGGAAUAGUUCUCUAAUCUCACUUAAUCUAUCAUAUUACCAUCUCUACACGCAUCGGAGUCGAACGAUCAACAACCACAUCGGUAACUGAUCCAUGAAAUCUCCUUAAUUGAAGCAAUCUGUCAAAGUCGGUGCUUUUAAUCUUUCUAAUAACCGAUCCGUGUAGCGAGAACCAAUUAAUACUGAUAUGAGCGCUAAAUCAUCAAAGUUCAUUGAGGCGCGAUAUGAACCCCUGUGGCGGCGGUAGAGAAUAUCCACGACAAUAUACACCGUUGUUCUCCGAACACGACUGGCAACUGGCCCGUCUAAUUGAAUAUCAAAGUCAAAGAUCUAUACACACACACAUGAGUGAGUAAUCUGGUUCAUCAACUGCCCGCAGCGGGUCCGCCGGAAGGAACGCAAUCACCCGCGGGCAUAUUACCGCGCAUUAUUAAUAAUAAUCACCUACUGACCUUGGAUGACGAACGUCGCGCCGCGGCGCGCCGCCCGUGUCACUAUGAUGGACGAACUCAUUUUGCAUUUACUGUAAUUAUAAUUACAUCCAGUCGGGCGGAACGGGUCUUCGAUUCCCGCACCGUGAAUGGUUUAACGUAAUAGGAAUUCAAUUGUUUGUCACGUGUCACGUGCCGACAAAAGUAGAUAAUUAUCAGUGAAGAAAGUACAAAUGAAAACAUGCACACUUCAUUUGAGAGGCCUUCGCAUGCUUCCAGUUUUCUGACUGUAUUUUUAUGUGUAUCAGUUUCUAAAGAAACACUCAAUAUCAUAUUGGAAAUGCUCUUGUUAUUAACAGGGAAAAAACAAUUAGCAGCUACAGUUGUAAAGUGUAUGGAAGGGCGAAAACAUGUUUGAACUUACUCAUUUAUGCUACGUGUUGUGAUUCUAUGCUUCGAUUGCUUGAGAAAAGAUUUACUUUAGCACGAGUGGUUUUCUAAAUAGUAGCACUUUUCCGGGAGAGUCGAUUAAAAUGUUCAUUCUCAAUCAUCGAUGAAAAAUGCGAUGUUUUACCUUUACAAAAAUCAGAAUCGUGGAAAUGCAGCGAGUAAAGCUCAAGAAAAGUCUAGUAGUUCACGAAUGCCACUACAGAGUUAAAGAUAUGCAAUUUUUUAUUCGAAAAUAACCUGGUUCUGGACAUAAAUUAGAUACAUUAGUUCGGUAUGAAAUUAUUGCAGCCAACCAACCAUAAACGGUUUGACCGGUAAUGACGUUCUUAAUUGAACUGGAAAGCAUCUCACUAAAGUGGACACGGUUAUAUGAAAGAAAUAGAAUCUGUUCCGAAUAUUUUUGGGUUAAAGGGUGUUACGACCGAAAAUUGGUCAAACAAGAAUUUAUGUAAACCGGUUAAAAUUUUUAUUAAAAUUUAAAAUUUUAUUUAUUCAUACAGAAUAAAGAAAACAUAUUCAC